rnacentral:lncRNA from 1 species
UCUGGCCAAUCAGAGCGUUGCCGCGGGUUACCACGGCAACGCUCUGACCGGGUCUCGCGAGACUCUUGGUCUGCAGCUCUGCACACUGCGCGGAGCUGCAGACCAGAAAGCACCACCGGACCACCAGGGAAAGAAGAAGCCACCGGACCACCAGGGAAAGAAGAAGCCACCGGACCACCAGGGAAAGAAGAAGCCACCGGACCACCAGGGAAAGAAGAAGCCACUGGACCACCAGGGAAAGAAGAAGCCACUGGACCACCAGGGAAAGCAGGUAUUUAGUACCCCCCU